CCUACGGGAGGCAGCAGUGAGGAAUAUUGGUCAAUGGGCGCGAGCCUGAACCAGCCAAGUAGCGUGAAGGAUGACUGCCCUACGGGUUGUAAACUUCUUUUGUCGGGGAACAAAGGCGGAGACGCGUCUCCGGAUGAGUGUACCCGAAGAAAAAGCAUCGGCUAACUCCGUGCCAGCAGCCGCGGUAAUACGGAGGAUGCGAGCGUUAUCCGGAUUUAUUGGGUUUAAAGGGUGCGCAGGCGGGAGAUCAAGUCAGCGGUAAAAUGUCGGGGCUCAACCCCGGCCGGCCGUUGAAACUGGUUUUCUAGAGUUGGAGAGAAGUAUGCGGAAUUCGUGGUGUAGCGGUGAAAUGCAUAGAUAUCACGAAGAACUCCGAUUGCGAAGGCAGCAUACCGGCUCCAUACUGACGCUGAGGCACGAAAGCGUGGGGAUCGAACAGGAUUAGAUACCCGGGUAGUC
rnacentral:rRNA from 1 species